GGGGGGGGGGGGGGGGGGGGGGGGGGGGGGGGGGGGGGGCGGGGGGGGGGGGGGUGGGUGGGGUGCUCGAGGGGCGGCCGGGGGAGUGGCACGUGGGUCGCCUGCCCUUGCCUUUGGGGUAACUUCAGGGAGCUGGGGCUCAUCCCGGGUAGGCGCUCCUGCUGCAUGGUGGGGGUUGGACAGUUUCGGCGGUUGGGGAUGGACUCGCGGCUUAUCAGCUUGUUGGUGGGGUAGUGGCUUACCAAGGCUUUGACGGGUAGCCGGCCUGAGAGGGUGACCGGCCACAUUGGGACUGAGAUACGGCCCAGACUCCUACGGGAGGCAGCAGUGGGGAAUAUUGCACAAUGGGCGGAAGCCUGAUGCAGCAACGCCGCGUGCGGGAUGACGGCCUUCGGGUUGUAAACCGCUUUCGCCUGUGACGAAGCGUGAGUGACGGUAAUGGGUAAAGAAGCACCGGCUAACUACGUG
rnacentral:rRNA from 1 species